rnacentral:rRNA from 1 species
AUGUAUAUGCUAUGCUGGAAUUAUUAUGAGUUGGGCGACCCUGCAACAGCUCAAGAACUGCGCGAGUGUGCCUCGACGGUGUUGUGCGUGGUGGAAACACAAAUUGCUAAGUACCGUGUGGAAAAUCUGCCAGGUUCAUUAGGAUAUGAUCAUGCUUAUGUAGUUUGUACUAGUGGAAGAAGUGGAGGCUUGGGCAUCUUUUGGAAGAAUUCAGUGCAACUCAGCAUGAGGAACUUCUCAUAGUAUCACAUUGAUAUGAAGGUUACUAGCUAA